rnacentral:rRNA from 1 species
AGUGAACGCUGGCGGUAGGCCUAACACAUGCAAGUCGAACGGCAGCACAGUAAGAGCUCGCUCUUACGGGUGGCGAGUGGCGGACGGGUGAGGAAUACAUCGGACUCUACUUUUUCGUGGGGGAUAACGUAGGGAAACUUACGCUAAUACCGCAUACGACCUACGGGUGAAAGUAGGGGAUCUUCGGACCUUGCGCGAUUGAAUGAGCCGGUGUCGGAUUAGCUAGUUGGCGGGGUAAAGGCCCACCAAGGCGACGAUCCGUAGCUGGUCUGAGAGGAUGAUCAGCCACACUGGAACUGAGACACGGUCCAGACUCCUACGGGAGGCAGCAGUGGGGAAUAUUGGACGAUGGGCGCAAGCCUGAUCCAGCCAUACCGCGUGGGUGAAGAAGGCCUUCGGGUUGUAAAGCCCUUUUGUUGGGAAAGAAAAGCAGCAGGUUAAUACCCCGCUGUUCUGACGGUACCCAAAGAAUAAGCACCGGCUAACUUCGUG